rnacentral:rRNA from 1 species
UGGGGAAUAUUGCACAAUGGGCGCAAGCCUGAUGCAGCCAUGCCGCGUGUAUGAAGAAGGCCUUCGGGUUGUAAAGUACUUUCAGUCGGGAGGAAGGUGGUAAGGUUAAUAACCUUAUCAAUUGACGUUACCGACAGAAGAAGCACCGGCUAACUCCGUGCCAGCAGCCGCGGUAAUACGGAGGGUGCAAGCGUUAAUCGGAAUUACUGGGCGUAAAGCGCACGCAGGCGGUUGAUUGAGUCAGAUGUUAAAUCCCCGGGCUUAACCCGGGAAUUGCAUCUGAUACUGGUCAGCUAGAGUCUUGUAGAGGGGGGUAGAAUUCCAUGUGUAGCGGUGAAAUGCGUAGAGAUGUGGAGGAAUACCGGUGGCGAAGGCGGCCCCCUGGACGAAGACUGACGCUCAGGUGCGAAAGCGUGGGGAGCAAACAGG